CCACAGCCAUAUUGCACAGGCUCCACCCUCCAUACCUUGUCCCGGACCCGGUGGGCUGGGUGCUGCUUCCAGUAAGGGAGCCUUACUGUAAGGCUCAUCAGUUCAUCUGUAAAAAAGAAGACGAGCGAGCGCCGAUCCGGUACUGAUUCCCACGGGCCCACAGUCCAGCACAUCUAUUGAUGCUAAGCCAUCAAGUGGUACUCUGGUUAUCCGCCGUUGAUAGAAAGAGGACCAGCAGUUUCUUGUCCGGAAAUGCCUUCUUUCAGUCUCCCUUCCCUAAACCCUUAGGCUUGGUACUGAGAGACAGGCAAACACCUUCAACAGCAGCAAAAACAUAUAUAAUGUGAUGAGGACUUCUGGCCACCAUGUAAUCUCCACCAUGAUAGUCUAUAUACUCAAACUGUGUGCCAAAAUAAGCCCUUCCUCCUCCUUGCUGCUUCUGUCAAGUAUUUUUCAGAGAAACGAGAAAACUAAUAUGUCUGCUAUGAGUCAGGUAUUCUUCAAGGUCACUUUCACCUUGAACUCCUUCAUCUCAAGAGCAGACUUCCAGAUUGCCCCAAAGAGAAAGAGGGCUGGAGGCUGGUCAUCAACAACUAAACAACUUCCACUUCCAGACUGCUAGCCAGAACUGGUCACACAGGUGCAGUCCAACUGCAACAGAGACUGGAGCAGGGUCUACAUAGCCUUAACUGGCCUGGAACUUGCCAUGUAGACCAGGCCAGCCACAAACUCACAGAAAUCCACCUGCCUCUGCCUCUUGAGUGAUGGGCAUAAAGGGCUGCACCACUACACAUGGCUGAUAUUAGAAUUUUAGAUGUCGUUUAGCCCUUGGGCAGAGACCAGCUGUGCCAAGCCCUAACUCUGAGUAGGAAUUUUGUCUUCUGAUCUCUUGGGACUGACCACUGAAGAUGAGUGAGACCAAGCAAGGUUCAGAAGCCCCUAGAGCCAUCACCAUCACCAUCACCAUCAUCAAGGCUGCACAUUGGGAUCUCACUGUUGUAGCUCAGACUGGACUUGACCCCACUGUGCAACCCACACCGACUUCAAACCCUGAAUCCUUCUGCUCCAGUGUCUCAAGUUCUGGGGUUAUAGAUGUACACAACAAAAACUUGGCUAUGAAAGCUUGUUUUAUUUUUAUAUAUAUUUUAAGGUUUAUUUAGUUUUUUUAUGAGUAUGAAUAUUUGUCUGCAUGUGUGUAUGUGUACCAUGUGUGCCUGGUGCCCAUGGAAGACAGAAGGGGGUGUCAUAUCCCCUGGACUGAAGUUAUAGAUUGGAAUUACAGACAGUUGUGAGUCACUGUGUGGGUACCAGAACUGAACCCAGGUCCCCCACAAGAGCAGCAAGUGCUGGAGAGCCAUCUUUCCGUGAACACUCAUUUUAACCAGAUGAAUCAGAUGUUACCUGAGCACUGACCAGGCCUCCAGCUCCUUCCUCUGGCCACACCAAUGCACCCAUGACCUCUCCGUGCUGUGGGCCUUGCCUUUUCUCUGAUCAGGGGUGAUGAAUGCUUAGUUUGCCUGGCCUGGCUCACCCACAACUGCUGGGUCUCCUGCACGCUCUCCUAGUCUCAAUGGCCUCUCAUCCACCUGGAAAUCCUCCUGCUUUUGACCUCUCCUGUGAUUCUUGUGUUAAGCUCCUCACUUCCUUGGGUUUAUAGCCCCUGUCCUUGUUCAGGCCUCACUAGGUCUAUUGCCUGGAAUUUAUCCCCAGUUCCUCAACUGGUCUCUCUUGAGAAGCCACUGGUUCAGAUCGCCCCUAUAUAACCCUCAUCUCCUUCCAUGGCCCCUGGCUCUCUUUGUGUUGUUUAUUUCCCAGAACUGCCUUUCUGGUCCCCCAGCUCUUAAGCCCUUCCUAGCCCACUGUUCUUGAUGCAAUCCCGUGAACACUGCCAGGCUCGUUCUCAUUAUCAUUUCUCCAAUCUGGUGUGGAAUAUUACUUUAACUAUGUAAAGAUGUGUUACAUUUGUUUAUGUUGUGGAAUAUUUAACUGUGUAAAGGUGUGUUACAUUGUUUAUGCUGCAUUUGUUUAAAGAUGUAAGGAUGUAUUGCUUUGCCUGCCUAAAGCACUUACCUGACUUGUCUAAUAAAAGCUGAAGGGCCAAUAGCUAGACAGCAGAGGGAUAGGCAGGGCUGGUGGGCAGAGAGAAUGAGUAGGAGGAAGAAUUUAGACAGCAGAAGAGAACAGGGAGAAAGAGGGAAAUGCCUGGGGCCAUCCUGAUAGACCUGGAGGAAGCAGGAAAGUGGGACAAACAAAACUAAAGAAAGGAAAAAAAAUAAAAAAAACCACCCUGAGGCAAAAACAUAGAUGAAGAGAAACAGGUUAAAUUAAGUUAUAAGGGCUAAUGUGACAAGCAUAAGAUAAGGCUGAGCAUUUAGAACUAAUAAUGUCUCUGUGUUAUGAUUUGGGAGUUGGUGGUACAGAAGCCUGCUACACCAAUCAGACCUCUUUCCUCUGUAUUCCAGGGCACAAUACAGAUAACUAGUGUCACUUUUCUUUCCAAUCUACUGUCUAAACCAGGACAUUUUGGAGAAUUUAAAGGAAAUGCUAAGAAUUGCUUUUGUUUAGCAGGUACCCAUUGUUCUGUUACAGACCAACUGGUAGGUGUGGUUACCCUGUUCUACCCAAUGUCACUGUAAAGAGUGGCAUUUGGUACUCCCAUGCCUCUCAUUCGUAUUGCUAGGUAGCCCUGUGAGGUGGUAUUGCUAUCAUUUUCCAGAUGGAAGAUGAAACCUCAGAGAGCUGGAGACCAUGGACAACACAACCAGGUGGCAAAACCAGUCCAGGAACCCAGAUAUCUAAAUUCUGGACUCUUCUACACUUAGUGUUGGGGUCUAGACAUAGGACAUGUGCUACCCUGAGAUGAAAAGGACCUGUAGAAAUGGAGGCUUACCAAAAAAAAAAAAAAAAA